rnacentral:rRNA from 1 species
UACGUAGGGUCCGAGCGUUGUCCGGAAUUAUUGGGCGUAAAGGGCUCGUAGGCGGUUUGUCACGUCUGCUGUGAAAUCCCGAGGCUCAACCUCGGGCCUGCAGUGGGUACGGGCAGACUGGAGUGCGGUAGGGGAGAAUGGAAUUCCUGGUGUAGCGGUGGAAUGCGCAGAUAUCAGGAGGAACACCGAUGGCGAAGGCAGUUCUCUGGGCCGUAACUGACGCUGAGGAGCGAAAGCGUGGGGAGCGAACAGG